AAUACAUAACUAAGCCUCCGUUUGGUUGGGAGUUAAGAGGUGGAAUAACCUCUUAACCCCCAUUUUAUUCCCAAAUAUUUCUAAAAAUGGGUGGGGUUAGCUAAUUCCAGCUAACCUAGCUAACCCCACCUAACUUCACCAAACCCCAACCAAACACUAUUUUCUAUUUAUAAUAAUUUACUAUCCUUCUUAUCCCACCUACUCCAACCAAACAUUAUUUUUCACUAUUCUGAACUAACUCCAACUCCUAGCCAAACAUAAAAAUACUAACCCCAUCUUAAUCCUAAACUUAACCCUAUCCCUAAAAUAACUAAUUUUUCCUUAAUCCCGAACCAAACGGUAGCUAAGAGUUUAUCCAUUCAUCAUAUUUUUUUUAAAAAAAAUAUUUUUAUUAUAUUUUUAUUUAUAAAAAAACAUAAUUAAGUAGCUAUAGAUGGUAUGGUGUGAUGUGGUGUCACUGUCAAAUUCUAGACCGUUGAUUAUGGAAUAUCUGUAGCAGUGCCGACAAAGUGAAGGGCGUGUGUUUUCUGUACAUCAAAUCAACCAAUCAUAUCAGGUGGAGAGAGAUGUUGGACCAAUCAGAUUCGCUGUUUCAAGUCCAGCCUUGCUGUUCUCUUUACCAUUCCUUUAUAUCGUCAUUCGUCAUCGUAGCGUCAUCUAGUCGUCAUCCAAUAAGUAAAAUUAUACACUAACACCUUC
rnacentral:lncRNA from 1 species